CACGUAGGGUGCGGGCGUUGUCCGGAAUUAUUGGGCGUAAAGAGCUCGUAGGCGGUGUGUCGCGUCGGCCGUGAAAACCUGCAGCUUAACUGUGGGCGUGCGGUCGAUACGGGCAUCACUGGAGUUCGGCAGGGGAGACUGGAAUUCCUGGUGUAGCGGUGAAAUGCGCAGAUAUCAGGAGGAACACCGGUGGCGAAGGCGGGUCUCUGGGCAAUAACUGACGCUGAGGAGCGAAAGCGUGGGGAGCGAACAGG
rnacentral:rRNA from 1 species